CCUACGGGAGGCAGCAGUGGGGAAUUUUGGACAAUGGGCGAAAGCCUGAUCCAGCAAUGCCGCGUGCAGGAAGAAGGCCUUCGGGUUGUAAACUGCUUUUGUACGGAACGAAACGGUCUGCUUUAAUACAGUGGGCUAAUGACGGUACCGUAAGAAUAAGCACCGGCUAACUACGUGCCAGCAGCCGCGGUAAUACGUAGGGUGCGAGCGUUAAUCGGAAUUACUGGGCGUAAAGCGUGCGCAGGCGGUUAUAUAAGACAGUUGUGAAAUCCCCGGGCUCAACCUGGGAAUUGCAUCUGUGACUGUAUAGCUAGAGUACGGUAGAGGGGGAUGGAAUUCCGCGUGCAGCAGUGAAAUGCGUAGAUAUGCGGAGGAACACCGAUGGCGAAGGCAAUCCCCUGGACCUGUACUGACGCUCAUGCACGAAAGCGUGGGGAGCAAACAGGAUUAGAUACCCUGGUAGUCCACGCCCUAAACGAUGUCAACUGGUUGUUGGGUGCAUUAGUACUCAGUAACGAAGCUAACGCGUGAAGUUGACCGCCUGGGGAGUACGGCCGCAAGGUUGAAACUCAAAUGAAUUGAGGCUGAGACGNGCGAGGNGACACGAGGGAGGAGG
rnacentral:rRNA from 1 species